AUUUGUUUCUCAUCUCACUCUGAUACACUUUUCUCGUCCCACUCAUCUCCGACCAUCUCACUCUCUACUCACAACAACAAUCAUCUCUCUUUUUCCAUCUGGUCGCAGAAACGUAACAACAUCAUCGUUCGCUCAUCUUCUCGCGUUCGCAGCUUCACCACAGCACAAUUUAGCCGUUGUUCUCCUCUUGUCUGAGAUUGUUCAGAUUCACGCUUUACCUCGCCUAACCAUAGUGAGGAAGUGAAUUUCUGAGACUCUACUGAACGCGAGGUUGCUCUCAUGAUACUCAGAAUGUGAAGGACGUUCUUUCGUUCAUAAACUCGAAUGCAUUGUUUAUAAAUAACCAAGCUGAAUGAUUUUAUGAAAGAGAUCCAUGCUGCUGGCCAGAAUGGGAAAAUUUCAGGUGAAUUUUGCAGGUUUAAUGUAGGGAUUCAAGACUGGUACAUCGAUGCAAUGUCAAAUACUAUGUUUGCCGGGUUUGUGAAGUUGUUCUGAAGUCAGAGUCCCUAUAUGGGAUGCACACCAGGUUUCUUGUAAGCAUCGUGAGUCACCCCAAACCAGCUUAGAUUAACAGAAUUAUUAUUUUGGUCAGGCAAUAAGUAUCGUUUUGGAGGGAGAUCUAGUCAUUGACAAUGGUUUCUUUUGUAUUAUUUGAUUGAUGUCCGCUAAAGAAAAGACUUGGACCAGAUUCCUCAAACAAGAUGGCUGCACAAAUGACAUCAAUUCAGGAGCAAGCAAAGACAUCA